ensembl:lncRNA
CUCCCUCCCUCCGCGCCAUACUCCACUCCCCCUUCUUCUCCUUUCUCUGUCGGCCCAUGCUUGAUCGUUCCUUUGAAGAGCAGUGAAGGCAGCAGCAGCUGUUCAUCAAGGUGAGACACACAGAGAGAGAGAGAGAGAGAGAGGUCUGUGAGACAAUAUGAGAGAGAGAGAAUCUGUCUGUGAGACAUUAUGAGAGAGAGAGAGAGAGAGAGAUCUGUCUGUGAGACAUGAGAGAGAGAGAGAGAGGUCUGUCUGUGAGACAUUAUGAGAGAGAGAGAGAGAGGUCUGUCUGUGAGACAUUAUGAGAGAGAGAGAGAGAGGUCUGUCUGUGAGACAUUAUGAGAGAGAGAGAGGUCUGUCUGUGAGACAUUAUGAGAGAGAGAGAGAUCUGUGAGACACAUUAUGAGAGAGAGAGAGGUCUGUCUGUGAGACAUUAUGAGAGAGAGGUCUGUCUAUGAGACAUUAUGAGAGAGAGAGAGGUCUGUCUAUGAGACAUUAUGAGAGAGAGAGAGGUCUGUGAGACACAUUAUGAGAGAGAGAUCUGUCUGUGAGACACAUUAUGAGAGAGAGAUCUGUCUGUGAGACACAUUAUGAGAGAGAGAGAGAUCUGUGAGACACAUUAUGAGAGAGAGAUCUGUCUGUGAGACACAUUAUGAGAGACUGAUCUGUCUGUGAGACACACUAUGAGAGAGAGAUCUGUCUGUGAGACACACUAUGAGAGAGAGGUCUGUCUGUGAGACACAUUGUGAGAGAGAGGUCUGUCUGUGAGACACAUUAUGAGAGUGAGAGAUCUGUCUGUGAGACACAUUAUGAGAGAGAGAGAUCUGUCUGUGAGACACAUGAGAGAGAUAGAUCUGUCGGUGAGACAUAUUAUGAGAGAGAGAGUCUGUCUAUGAGACAUUAUGAGAGAGAGAGAGGUCUGUGAGACACAUUAUGAGAGAGAGAUCUGUCUGUGAGACACAUUAUGAGAGAGAGAGAGAUCUGUCUGUGAGACACACUAUGAGAGAGAGAGAGAGGUCUGUCUGUGAGACACAUUAUGAGAGAGAGAGAGAUCUGUCUGUGAGACACAUUAUGAGAGAGAGACUGCCCUGUCAGAGAGAGAGAGAGAGAGAGACAGAGAGAGAGAGGAGAGACAGAGAGAGAGAGAGACAGAGAGAGAGAGAGAGAGAGACAGAGAGAGAGAGUAGAGAGAGAGAGCACACAUACCUCAGCAUAAACAUCAGCACCACAGGUAACUUCCCCAAAGCUGUGAACGAUCGGAGACAGAAGAAGAGCUUUCUACACCAUCAAAAGGAACAUAACAUUUGACAUCCCAAUUAGGAUCUGGC